AAUCAACGCUGGCGGCGUGCCUCAGACAUGCAAGUCGAACGAUUAAAGCUCUCUUCGGAGAGUGUAUAGAGUGGCGCACGGGUGAGUAACACGUAAGUAAUCUACCCUCGAGUGGGGAAGUAACGUCCGGAACGGACGCUAAUACCGCAUAAUGCAGCGGCACCGCAAGGUGACAGUUGUUAAAGAUUUAUUGCUUGAGGAGGAGCUUGCGGCAGAUUAGCUAGUUGGUAAGGUAAUGGCUUACCAAGGCUACGAUCUGUAACGGUCUAAGAGGACGGUCGGUCACACUGACACUGAAUAACGGG
rnacentral:rRNA from 1 species